rnacentral:rRNA from 1 species
AGUAACCUGCCUUGGAGUGGGGAAUAACACAUCGAAAGAUGUGCUAAUACCGCAUAAUGCAGUUGGGCCGCAUGGCUCUGACUGCCAAAGAUUUAUCGCUCUGAGAUGGACUCGCGUCUGAUUAGCUGGUUGGCGGGGUAACGGCCCACCAAGGCGACGAUCAGUAGCCGGACUGAGAGGUUGACCGGCCACAUUGGGACUGAGACACGGCCCAGACUCCUACGGAAGGCAGCAG